CGUCACCAGGGUUUGGCUUGAGAAUUUUCUGAUCAACUACCAUCUUGUUUUGUGGAAGACCUCGGCUGAUGAACAAUACAACUGGAGGGUCUCGGGAACAGCAUCAGGCCGGAUAAUCUUUCAAAACCUUGCUCACUUCCUGCCAGACAAGAGGGUAACGAUACCCAAAACAGUGGUAGAGAGGGAGACAAAUUGGACAAACAGCUGGGCUUCAAGAGAGCAGGAUGUGUGUGUCGAGGACAGGAAAGCUGAGGAGUUGAACAACAGCUCAGCUAGGGCAGGAAAUCCUCACUCGGCAACUAUUACAAGCAAUCACAAGGUCCAGUCAGAAUCUGACCAAUCAGAUUUGAGGAUUAAUUGAACUUCAAAUUCCUGCUUAAGCCAUAUUUAGGAUGUCCCACAGAGCACAAGGGCUCAUUAACCAGACUCUGAGGAAUUCUUGAGAUGCAAACUGCAGCCUUCUCAUAUUGGCCAGUGAGAGUCCUAUGCGCGAACCUUGGCCUUGAUGUAAUUUUUUGUACUUCUCUAUCCAUCAUUUAAACCUGUGUAACCUUUUACCACAAAGCACUUUGAAGAAUUGGAAGAUAAAUGAAGACCCAUAGACCUUUCAAGCUCUUGAGCACUAUAGACUAUAUAGAUGAUCUUUACAUUAAAAUGGGACUUGAAUGAACUCAUGUAUUUUAAUACCAUAGAGAGGAAGAGAGACAGAAUGGCAUAUGAGAUCAAGAGAUCAAUUCUCAC